rnacentral:rRNA from 1 species
UACGGAGGGUGCAAACGUUGCUCGGAAUCAUUGGGCGUAAAGCGCACGUAGGCGGUCCAGCAAGUCGGGUGUGAAAGCCCUCGGCUUAACCGAGGAAGUGCAUUCGAAACUACUGGGCUUGAGUACUGAAGAGGAUCGCGGAAUUCCCGGUGUAGAGGUGAAAUUCGUAGAUAUCGGGAGGAACACCAGUGGCGAAGGCGGCGAUCUGGGCAGAUACUGACGCUGAUGUGCGAAAGCGUGGGGAGCAAACAGG